rnacentral:rRNA from 1 species
AUUGAACGCUGGCGGCAGGCCUAACACAUGCAAGUCGAACGGUAACAGGGAGCAGCUUGCUGCUCUGCUGACGAGUGGCGGACGGGUGAGUAAUGUCUGGGAAACUGCCUGAUGGAGGGGGAUAACUACUGGAAACGGUAGCUAAUACCGCAUAACGUCUACGGACCAAAGUGGGGGACCUUCGGGCCUCAUGCCAUCAGAUGUGCCCAGAUGGGAUUAGCUAGUAGGUGGGGUAACGGCUCACCUAGGCGACGAUCCCUAGCUGGUCUGAGAGGAUGACCAGCCACACUGGAACUGAGACACGGUCCAGACUCCUACGGGAGGCAGCAGUGGGGAAUAUUGCACAAUGGGCGCAAGCCUGAUGCAGCCAUGCCGCGUGUAUGAAGAAGGCCUUCGGGUUGUAAAGUACUUUCAGCGGGGAGGAAGGCGUUGUGGUUAAUAACCACAGCGAUUGACGUUACCCGCAGAAGAAGCACCGGCUAACUCCGUGCCAGCAGCCGCGGUAAUACGGAGGGUGCAAGCGUUAAUCGGAAUUACUGGGCGUAAAGCGCACGCAGGCGGUCUGUUAAGUCAGAUGUGAAAUCCCCGGGCUCAACCUGGGAACUGCAUUUGAAACUGGCAGGCUUGAGUCUCGUAGAGGGGGGUAGAAUUCCAGGUGUAGCGGUGAAAUGCGUAGAGAUCUGGAGGAAUACCGGUGGCGAAGGCGGCCCCCUGGACGAAGACUGA